rnacentral:rRNA from 1 species
GAUGAACGCGGCGGCGUGCCUAACACAUGCAAGUCGAGCGAUCUUCUUCGGAAGAGAGCGGCGGACGGGUGAGUAACGCGUGGGUAACCUGCCCUGUACACACGGAUAACAUACCGAAAGGUAUGCUAAUACGAGAUGAUAUGCUUUUAUCGCAUGGUAGAAGUAUCAAAGCUCCGGCGGUACAGGAUGGACCCGCGUCUGAUUAGCUAGUUGGUAAGGUAACGGCUUACCAAGGCGACGAUCAGUAGCCGACCUGAGAGGGUGAUCGGCCACAUUGGAACUGAGACACGGUCCAAACUCCUACGGGAGGCAGCAGUGGGGAAUAUUGCACAAUGGGCGAAAGCCUGAUGCAGCAACGCCGCGUGAGCGAUGAAGGCCUUCGGGUCGCAAAGCUCUGUCCUCAAGGAAGAUAAUGACGGUACUUGAGGAGGAAGCCCCGGCUAACUACGUGCCAGCCGCCGCGGUAA